rnacentral:rRNA from 1 species
AGGGAAACCGAGUCUUAACCGGGCGUUAAGUUGCAGGGUAUAGACCCGAAACCCGGUGAUCUAGCCAUGGGCAGGUUGAAGGUUGGGUAACACUAACUGGAGGACCGAACCGACUAAUGUUGAAAAAUUAGCGGAUGACCUGUGGCUGGGGGUGAAAGGCCAAUCAAACCGGGAGAUAGCUGGUUCUCCCCGAAAGCUAUUUAGGUAGCGCCUCGUGAAUUCAUCUCCGGGGGUAGAGCACUGUUUCGGCUAGGGGGCCAUCCCGGCUUACCAACCCGAUGCAAACUGCGAAUACCGGAGAAUGUUAUCACGGGAGACACACGGCGGGUGCUAACGUCCGUCGUGAAGAGGGAAACAACCCAGACCGCCAGCUAAGGUCCCAAAGUCAUGGUUAAGUGGGAAACGAUGUGGGAAGGCCCAGACAGCCAGGAUGUUGGCUUAGAAGCAGCCAUCAUUUAAAGAAAGCGUAAUAGCUCACUGGUCGAGUCGGCCUGCGCGGAAGAUGUAACGGGGCUAAACCAUGCACCGAAGCUGCGGCAGC